ACUCCGGGGAACCAAGCUCAACCGGAUAGGAUCUUCUCCUUCAUGGGAGAUGAUUGAAAGAUGGUUUCGGCUAUCACUGACAGAUGGGCCUGCGGUGCAAUAACUAGUUGGUGAGGUACCGGCCCACCAAGGAAACGAUGAAUAACCAACCUGAGAGGCAGAUCCGCCACACUGAGACUGAGACACGGCCCAGACUCCUACAGGAGGCAUCAGUAGGGAAUCUUCCGCAAUGGACGAAAGUCUGACGGAGCAACGCCGCGUGAGUGAUGAAGGCUUUCGGGUCGUAAAACUCUGUUGUUAGGGAAGAACAAUUACAAGAGUAACUGCUUGUACCUUGACGGUACCUAACCAGAAAGCCACGGCUAACUACGUGCCAGCAGCCGCGGUAAAUACGUAGGUGGCAAGCGUUAUCCGGAAUUAUUGGGCGUAAAGCGCGCGCAGGCGGUUUCUUAAGUCUGAUGUGAAAGCCCACGGCUCAACCGUGGAGGGUCAUUGGAAACUGGGGAACUUGAGUGCAGAACAGAAAAGCGGAAUUCCACGUGUAGCGGUGAAAUGCGUAGAGAUGUGGGAGGAACACCAGUGGCGAAGGCGGCUUUUUUGGUCUGUAACUGAACGCUGAGGCGCCAAAGCG
rnacentral:rRNA from 1 species